AGUGAACGCUGGCGGUAGGCCUAACACAUGCAAGUCGAACGGCAGCACAGUAAGAGCUUGCUCUUACGGGUGGCGAGUGGCGGACGGGUGAGGAAUACAUCGGAAUCUACUUUUUCGUGGGGGAUAACGUAGGGAAACUUACGCUAAUACCGCAUACGAUCUACGGGUGAAAGCAGGGGAUCUUUGGACCUUGCGCGAUUGAAUGAGCCGAUGUCGGAUUAGCUAGUUGGCGGGGUAAAGGCCCACCAAGGCGACGAUCCGUAGCUGGUCUGAGAGGAUGAUCAGCCACACUGGAACUGAGACACGGUCCAGACUCCUACGGGAGGCAGCAGUGGGGAAUAUUGGACAAUGGGCGCAAGCCUGAUCCAGCCAUACCGCGUGGGUGAAGAAGGCCUUCGGGUUGUAAAGCCCUUUUGUUGGGAAAGAAAAGCAGCAGGUUAAUACCCCGCUGUUCUGACGGUACCCAAAGAAUAAGCACCGGCUAACUUCGUG
rnacentral:rRNA from 1 species